rnacentral:rRNA from 1 species
UACGUAGGGUGCAAGCGUUGUCCGGAAUUAUUGGGCGUAAAGAGCUCGUAGGUGGCGGGUCACGUCGGGUGUGAAAGCCCGGGGCUUAACCCCGGGUCUGCAUUCGAUACGGGCCUGCUAGGGUCCGGCAGGGGAGACUGGAAUUCCUGGUGUAGCGGUGAAAUGCGCAGAUAUCAGGAGGAACACCGGUGGCGAAGGCGGGUCUCUGGGCCGGUACCGACGCUGGAGGAGCGAAAGCGUCGGGGAGCGAACAGG